UCUCUGAGAACUAGGGUAGGCCACAAAUCCCGGACGAGCCCCCACAUGUAAGGCCCCUGAAGCUGGGCCUCCGCUCAAGUCCUGGAAUGAGCUGGCCAGCACCCCAGUGACCCAAGAGAAA
rnacentral:pre_miRNA from 7 species